GGCGUUUACAAUAAAACGAUAAAUAAAGCAAUAAUAAAUGAACAUUUAGGAGUAUCAUAGUAUAGUACAACUAGAAUCUACAACAAAGGAAUAAACAAAAGCUAAAAGUAGUGUCACGCCCCAAGCCCCGCGUAUUUGGCCGGGUCGGGCCGCCGACAGCGCCGAACAGAUAGGGUUUCCCCUAUACUUCGGACAGAGUCUCCCCUGUACGUUCAAGGCUCAACAAACAGUACAAUACAAGAGGUUCCAGACAGGAACAAUAUUCGUACACUGAUUGCAUAAUGGAAGGUAUCAAACAAUAUAAAACAUCCAACUUAUUACACGCAUUCACAUUCAUACAUUUUUACAACUCAAAUACAACUUAUUUUCAUCCAAAUGCAAUCUAAGUUAUUACAUCAUUUAUAUCUUUAAUACAUUUUUGUUUUUUUCAUUCACUACACCCCUAAGCUAUGUCGACUCGGGGUACUGCUAUUUCUGGUCUCUGGGGUAGGGCGCUACCUACGGAGCUACGCCCUUUCCUCGCGCCGCCGUGCUGCUCACGUGCGAACCUGUAAUACCCCAAAACAACGUGGGGUGAGAACCAACU
rnacentral:lncRNA from 1 species